UUCACAUCCAAGAUCAUUCUAAAUCCGUGGUUGCAUCCAAAUCACGAUGUUGACGAAAUGCCGAUGUUGUUGAAUUUCCUAAAGUGCAUUAUUCUAUGCAUGCCCCCUGGUGACUGCACAGUAACGAGACUUUCAUAAACCGGUAUCCCGGGACGAUGGAGAAACGAAAAUGUCACCACUGGGGAACUCCGCGGUCGACGCCGAGGCUUUAGCAUGCUUUAAUAGUAAAGAAUCGCGGCGAUCUGAAGCCGCGUUUAAUGUUAUCUGCGUGACAUCAUUUGCCAUAUGGAUGCGUGACACUUUAAACACACCAUUCCAAGAGGUAUACGAUUUUUUAACAAGAGCAUUUAAGUAAAUAAUAGUGGAUAAUAUUCGAUAAAAUGUUCUUUUCUUUUAAAGUUAAUUAAAAAAAUAUUUGGAAUUUGCGGCAUAUGUACUUAGACUAAUGGAUAUAUAAGCAUAUGGACAUGCGCAUCGUAUUUAGUGUAUAUUUAAUCAAUUGUAAUGACUGUGUGACAUUUUUUAAUGAAAUAUUACAUUUUUAUCUGAUAUUCAAUUUUUGCACAGACUAACAUAAUUAAGCCCAUCAAUUGUUUAUAUGCACCUCAUUGUUACAUUCUAUUCAAUUGAUGGCCAAGUACCGUUAGAUUGGUCUAUUUAUUCUUUCCCAAGUGUUAGCCUACGAGCCGAGCCCAACCCAAAUGCGUUCUAGGGUUUAAAAGCUUGGGUGGACAAAAGUGCCUAAUCUUCCAGUAGGUGGCAGACUCAAUCCUUUCAAAUGUAUACGUCACAGGCAGCUUUCAGUUCAUGAACUUCGUGUAGGCAUACUGUAGUGUAGAGUGAGGGCGCUAUUCCAGUGAGGAAAUUCAGUGAGUCUAAAUGACUAGUUGCAUAAGAAAAUACAAAUCUUCAUGUUUAGAUAUCCCACCACUGUCAAAGCACAAAUGUCUCAGAAAUAAAAACAAUUAAACGUGAUUAUUCUAAAAGAAUAAAGACUUUUAUUAAGCAUUGUAA